UAGGGAAUCUUCCACAAUGGACGCAAGUCUGAUGGAGCAACGCCGCGUGAGUGAAGAAGGUCUUCGGAUCGUAAAGCUCUGUUGUUGGUGAAGAAGGAUAGAGGCAGUAACUGGUCUUUAUUUGACGGUAAUCAACCAGAAAGUCACGGCUAACUACGUGCCAGCAGCCGCGGUAAUACGUAGGUGGCAAGCGUUGUCCGGAUUUAUUGGGCGUAAAGCGAGCGCAGGCGGAAUGAUAAGUCUGAUGUGAAAGCCCACGGCUCAACCGUGGAACUGCAUCGGAAACUGUCAUUCUUGAGUGCAGAAGAGGAGAGUGGAAUUCCAUGUGUAGCGGUGGAAUGCGUAGAUAUAUGGAAGAGCACCAGUGGCGAAGGCGGCUCUCUGGUCUGCAACUGACGCUGAGGCUCGAAAGCAUGGGUAGCGAACAGG
rnacentral:rRNA from 1 species